rnacentral:rRNA from 1 species
CCCCAGCGCCACGAGUGGGAGCCACGAUUAUUGGGCCUAAAGCGUCCGUAGCCGGCCUGUCAAAUCUCUUGUGAAAUCGACUCGCUUAACUUGUCGUCGAGCAGGAGACACUAAUAGGCUUGGGACUGGGAGGAGUCAGAGGUAUUCCUUGGGGAGCGGUAAAAUGCGAUAAUCCUUGGAGGACCACCUGUGGUGAAAGCGUCUGACUAGAACAGAUCCGACGGUGAGGGACGAAAGCCAGGGGA